GGUUAACACCAGGGACAGUAGUAAUACAGGGGACCCGAUCGAUAGGUUAACCCAUGGGACAGUGGUAAUACAGGGGACCAUGAUAGAGGUUAACACCAGGGACAGUGGUAAUAAGGGGACCAUGACGCAGGUAAUACAGGGGACCAUGAUAGAGAACUAACACCAGGGACAGUGGUAAUACUGGGGACCAUGAUAGAGGUUAACACCAGGGACAGUGGUAAUACAGGGGACCAUGAUAGAGGUAAUACAGGGACCAUGAUAGAGUUACACCGGGACAGUGGUAAUACAGGGGACCAUGAUAGGGUUAACACCAGGGACAGUGGUAAUACAGGGGACCAUAUAGAGGUUAACACAGGGACAGUGGUAAACAGG
rnacentral:lncRNA from 1 species